rnacentral:miRNA from 1 species
ACUUGCUGUAUGAAAUUGGCGAC